CAAGGUGUUUUGCAUUUUGCUUUUAACUGAUGGUUACAUUAUAUGAAGUGGGUUUUUUUCAGUCUGAGAAAUAUUUCUACCAGGGAAUGUGUACCAUGAAAAAUAUUCUUUUUAGGGUUAAUCACAGUUUCCAUUCUAAACACAUAGGUACUAUGGAGACAAUUUGGAAAUUGAUGAGUACAAAAAAGGGAGCAGCAUUGCCAAAGCCGAAUUCUGGUCAAAAUAACAUUUCUUUAGCACCUGCUGCACAGAGAUGCUGUGCAGAUAAUAUUCUCUUAACCUUUAGGAAGCAUUCUCAAAGAGGCAGCUCUCCCUUGGAUAAAUAUUAACCAAGAUGGAGAAGGACACUAUUCAAGUCUGAAAGAAAAUAUAGAGAAAAAUGGGGUAGAGAAUAAGUCAGAUUUACUGUUUAUAUUUUCUAAAAAGAAACUUAUUUAAAAAGAUUUUAUCAAUAAUGCAGUGAUAAAAGUUUGUAAUAUUUGCUUUUCCCUUCUAAUCUUAUCUUUCUACACCUUUACAUAUUCUCAUACAUAUUGCAUAUUGAGUAUGCAUGAACAAAGGCCUUCAUAAUCUAGCCAAAUACUAUAGUGUUUGCUUUCUAGUUUUAUGCUAACAAUCUCUGUGCAUAUAUGUGAAAGAACCAUAGUUAUUGCUAAUAGUUCCUUAUAGUAUGACAGACUGUUAGAUCAUUUUCAUGUAAUCUAUAGUGCUAGACCUAGAGAUUUUUGUCAUGUUUUUCCUAUUUGUUAAUGUUGCAUAAUUAACAUAGUCUAUAAUAAUUUUUUUCCUUUGAUGUUUCCCCGUUGGCUAAAUUUCUGGAAUGGUUACACGGGGUCUGAGGUAUUCUUUUGUAGACUUUGUCCAUUUCAACUGCUGAAAUGCCCUGUUUGUUGCUUUUUUUUUUUGGUACCAGUCCUUGCGCUUGCGCAGCAGGCAGCAAAACCACUGAGCUAAAUCCCCAGCCCUGAAAUGCCCUGUUUAUCCAGCCUCUGCCAGUUGCCAUCUGAGCUAUUAUUAAUGCGACAUCAUGUCCUUCCUGUUUUGUUUUUUCCUCAGUGUGCAUUUGCAUGUGUGUAGGACUGUAGAGCUGCUUCUCAUGGUGCUGUUUCAAGUCCUGAGACAACACCUGAGAUCUGACACCGAACUUAAUUUCCCUCUUCUGCUCCUCUCAAGUUCUUCAAAGAUGUAUUAAAAGAUUCAGGUUUGGCCUCAAGGGAUGUUAGGCUUCCAGGUUUUGAGACUCCCAAGGACAUGGCACAAUUACCUGGGGGAAGCAUCUUUGUUGUCAACAACUGCUCUGAUCCUCUACUAGAGUAGGACCCAGGAUAUUGUUAUAUGGUCGACAGUGCACAGGGUUUUCUCCCACAACCAAGAGUUAUCUGAGCCAAAAUAUACAUACAGCUGAAUUUCAGGAAUUCUGUUGGAAAUUGAUCAAGAACUAAAAAGAGAGGGCAUUAACCACCAUUACAAGAAAUAGGGUAGCAGAUGUACCACUGAGAACACAAAAAAUAAAAAGCAAAAGAAGUUACCAAUAACAGCUUUGUGCCUUAAACUGAACAACUUAGACAAAAUGUGUAAAUCCUUGUACAAAAACCAGUAACCAGAGGUGCUCGCUCUAAGAUCUGAAAAUGUAUAUGCUCACUAAAGGAAGUGGAUCUUUAUCUAUAAAUUUUUUUUUGGUACUGGGGCUCAAACUUGGGACCUUGUGCUUGAGAGGCAGGUGGCAGAACCACUGAGGUAAAUCCCCUAUAAGUAUUUCAACAGUGAAAUUUAAUUACAACUAAAAUAUUUCCCUGGGGAAAUUGUAUAGAAAAUUGUUGGAAAAUACACAAAAUUGUAGAUAUGCGAGGUAAAUAUGUGUACAUAUACAAUAUCAACACAGUAAUAUUAUAUACUUGAAAUAAUUGCUGAUAGAUAUUAAAUGCCCUUACCACAAAAAUAUGUGUAAUGAUAGGUUAAUUGGCUUGACUAUAGUAAUGACUUUACUAUGUAUUUCAAAAAAUCAUGUUAAAUACCUUAAAUAUAUAUGUAUCAGAAAAAUACUAUAUAAAUGUUUACCCAUUGGUAAAGCUGAAUUACAUAACAACAAUAUAUAAGAGAAAAAUGUUUAUCAAUCACAGAUGACUUCAGUAGUAGAAUCAACUAAUAUUUGUAGAAGCAAAGAAAUUUUGAGCAAAGAAAAAGAGAAAGAAAGAAAUGGUCCUGUUCCUCAAGAAAGUAAAGUCGAAGAAAACACUUUCUCAAUUCAUAUUUUUUGGCCAUAUUACUAUUAUAAUAUAAAAACAAGAUAAAGGAAAGAAAAAUAUGGACCAAUCGCCCUUAUAAAAUAGAUGCAUAUAUAAUAAACAAUAUUGUAUUAUAUAGCAUAACGUUAUAUAUAGCACAUUACUUAAAGUAAUAGAAUAUUGAUCCUAUAAUAUAUAAAGACAUUAGUAUCUAGUAAUCUAACAGCAAUUCAUCAUAGGAAUACAAAGCUCAUUUGACAGUGAAAAAUCAAGACAUAUAACUCAACAAAUCAACAAAAAUAAGAAAUAUAUAAUCAUCUCAACAGAUGCAUAAAAAGCAUUUGAUAUAUUUCAAAACCAUUGUUCAUUUAAAAAUUCAGCGUUGUCAACAAGACAGCAAAACAGGAUGCCUUCAUCACUUGUGCCCCCAAAAGCACAAGCCUGGCAACGAUCCAUGGACUGAAGUGCACUUGGGGAGCUCUAAGAUCAAAGGCCAAAGGCAUGUUGGCAGUGCCCAAGCCUAAGGAAAGCUCCACUCAGAGGGCAGGUCAGCCCUGGGUGCACAGCCCUGAACACUGACCUAGCUCCAGACUCAUAAACAGUCCCACGUUUCUGUGGACUUGGCUCUGACCACUUGCUGUGGUCCUGGAGGAAAGCCAUGUAUCCAGGGACCUGGCUGGAGUUUUGCCUGUCUACAGGUGCGGUGCAGGACUGACUAUAGAUCCAACUGUGGACAAGGAGAUAAUCUAAUGAUGAGUCCAAGCCUGCUCCACCACAUUUCAGAGGCAGACCUGUCCAUCUGGGGACCUGACAGGUGAUGGCUAUCCAUCUGAGGAAACCAGCCUGCAAAUACCAACAAAAGGACUGGUUUUUCAAAUACAAGAUUCCAGUGUGAGGCAGCUCUCCACUAUUCACUAACAAAAUAAAGAACCAUGAACUGUUUGACAAAGAGUUCAAAUUGAUAAUCUUAAAGAAGGGCAAUGAACUACCAGGGAAUACAUAUAAGCAAGUAAAUAAAAUCUUCAUUGGACUGAAUCAUUUUGAAAUCAAACGUAGAAGAAUAUCAAGAAUAGCUGAGAUAAUUUAGAGCAAUAUAGUGGAUUCCUAAGACUUCAGUUGCUUGGCAACAGAAUACAUGUGAGUUUGUUUUACACCACAGUAGGGCCUCAACACCCUACCCACAAAGUUUCCAUUUCUUUUCUUACUUUCAGAUCUUCAGUAUGGUCAAUUCAGACCUCAGAUUUAUACAAGCAAAUCUUGGUGAGCACUUCCCUAUGGAACAGUGAGGUGCUACUUUUCGGAUUUGGCAAACCAAUCCCUACAUUGCACAUGGACUACACAAAUAUGCCAGCAGGACUCUCCCAGAUGAUGACUGUCUUAGUAGACAUAAGCUGGGGACAGACCAGAGAAGCGCUUCACGAGUGUCUUCCCUAUAACAAGGACACCUGGCCCUAGGGCAAACCCCUGAGCACUGGGCCACUCAACAGGAUAAAGAUUAACCCCAUGAAAGCUGCAUUGUAAAUCUGCACAACUAACUCUCUGGAGUCCAGUCAAGGGCAGAGCUUGAACUUAUAGCCAUUUUCAUGAAUGAUAUGCCAAGACUAAACCAGUGAGCAACACGUGUAAGAACAGAGCUGUAGGAAUCACAAUCCCUGACUUCAAAAUGUACUGCAGAGCUGCAGUAAUCAAGUGUAUCAUACUGGGAUAAAAACACACAUAUAGACUAAGGAAUCAGAAUAGAGACCCUGAAACCAGCUCAUGCAAACAGUCAAGUGUCUUCACAAAGUGUGGUAGAACACACGUGUGGACAUGAUUCAGUAACCACCAUUGCGAGGACCAUGCCUAUGUGGCUGAAGAGUGGGAUCAAGUCCUGCCUGACAUCGUAUACAGAAAGCAACACAAAAGGAAUUAAGAUUAAACACUGACCGUGAAACGAUCGAAGUUUUGGAAGAAAACAGGAAAUGCUUCUAGGCAUUAGACUAGAAAAUGAUAUUUUUGGAUAUAAUACUAAAACAAGCAAUAAGAGCAAAACACAGGAAGUAAUGUUUCUUCACAGCAAAGGAGACAACAAAAUGAAGACAUCUUAUGGAAUGGUUAAAAAUAUUUUCAUACCAUUUUAUCUGAUAAGAGUUUAAUAUGCAAAAUUUAUAAGACAUUCUUUUAAUUCAACAACAGAAUGAAUAACCCCCCAAAAAGAAAAGAGGACUUAAAUUGCCAUUUCUCCAAAGAAGACACACAAAAGGCCAUCAUGUACAUGCAAAGGUAUUCAGCAUCACUAAUCAUCUGGGAAAUACAAUUCAUAGUCACAGUAAGUCAUUACUUACACAUGCCAGGAUGAUGACUUAAAAAAAAAACACAGCAAGUGUUGGGGAGGACAUGGAGAGAAGGAAACUUAUCCUAUUGGCAGGAAUACAACUGGCAUAGUCACUAUGGAAAACACAACUGUCUCUGAAUGAAAGAUUAACAGUAAACAUUUCACCAGGCUAGAAAAGAGCUUUCCCACCUUGAAAAAUGUCAUCUAUAAAAAGUCUACAGCUACUGCAAUGCUUAAGGGAGAAAUAAUGGUGUCUCCUAAGACCAAGAAUGGCAUAGUUGGGUGCAUCUAGUUAACAAAAAUGUGUUGCUUAUGUUGUUUAUUUCAAAGUAGCUAAAAGAGAGGGUUUUGCAUGUGCUCAUUACAGAGAAGUUAUAAUAGCUGAAGGUGACAGCCAUGCUGAUUUUCCCGAUUUGAUCAUUACCUAAUAUACAGACAAAUCAAAAUAUCAUAUUGUACCUCAUACAUAUGCACAAUAAUUAUUUCAAUAAAAAUUUAAUUUAAAUAAAGAAAAAGAGAGGAUGUUAUGUAACCCCUUUUCAUAUAAUUUUUUUGGAAGUUACAGGCUACGUGCAAUAAGCCAAGAAAAAGAAAUAAAAGGCACAGAGGAGGAAUGAUUAAAACAUUUUUAUUGGAAAAAAUGUUUGAUCAUAUACACAGACAUUUUUAAAUCUUCAAAUUAACAGUUAUAGUAGCAGCUACUAGAACUAGUAAAUAAAUUUGUUAAGGUCACAAUACAUAUCUCCAAAAUAAAAAAAAAUGGAUAGUACUUCUAUAGACAAACAACAAUUUUUUAAAUAUUGUAAUAUGCUUUAUUUAUAACAUCCAAAGAAUGAAGUAAAUAAGUAUACAUUUAACAAAAUAUAUUCAACUCCAAGUGAAGAAGGCUAGAAGAAAUAAAGAUAGAAAGAAGACAAAGAAAAUUAUAAUUUUAAAAUCAUAUUUAAAACAACACUACACUUUACAGUUUUUUCUCCAGGCUAGUCAUUAUUAAAUUCCUAAGUCUUAAAAAAUAUUCAGGGGCUGUGCAUUUCUCCUUUCUCCUGUGCCUUCCAUCUGUGCAUGGGCCAUGGUCUGUUACCUGUCAACUGAGUCCCUGUUUUCUAUAAAUUCACAAAUUCCAUAGAUUUCUGUCCCCCAAACACAUAAAAUAUACCCAACUCCAGGGUAUAAGGUCUCCUGUCUGUCUGUCUCUCCCUCCCUCUCUCACUCCCUCCUUCCAUAUUCUAUUCUCUCUAAAGGGUGUACUUCAUUAUUUCUAUUAGACAUUUUUAUGCUUCUCACUGAUAUACCCUGGAAGUUCUCUUUGGAUGGUGACAGUUGGGGAGCCUAUAACUUAUUACAUGAGUUGGUGAGUUGAGGCCCCCAUUUUCUCUUUGGGGACUCUCGUUGGCUCCAUCUGGUAACCAGAAGCCAAAACCUAAAAUACAUUGGGAAAAGUAUAAACACCCAAAAAACAAGGAGAGAUAUAUCACAUUUGUUGAUUGAAAUAUUCAAAGUUGUUAUGAUAUUACUUAUUACCUAAUUGAGCUAUAGAUUUGUGACAAUCCUAACAUUAAUUCAAGAAGCUUUCUAGUAAAUAUUUACCUGCAAAGAGUCUUAACCAAAUCAUUCAAAAUAUUGAUAGACUAUCAGAUUUCAAAAUAUACGGUAAAGCCAUAGUAAACACAACAAUGUGGUAUUGAGAGUAGACACCUAGACCAACAGAAUCAAACAAAAACUCAAGAAAUAGACUCAUAAGUAUGCUCAGCUGAUUUUAAUAAUUAUCCAAUACAAUUUAACAGUAAAGGAAAGCUUUCUCAGUAACUGCUGAUUAAAUACGUGGAUAUCAAUAUUGGAAAAAUGGAAUAAACUUUUCAUGGUGUGUAAAAAAUUAACUUCAAAUAGACAUGAAAUGCUUGUAAAAGAAAAUGUAGGAGGAAAUUUUUUUGACUAUGGGAUAAGCAGAUAAACUAUAUAGAAGAAAAAAAUCGUAAGUAAUCAAAGAAAAAUAUUUAAUUAGGAUUUAUAAAAUUUGAAAUCUUAAGACUUUUGUUCUUUGAAUUUGUGUACAAGACAAAAACAGAAGAACCAGGUAAUGAAAAAAUAUAAACCCCACUGGUAUAUUACUAGGUAUUUAUCCAAAAUAAAUGAAACACAGAUACACACAAAUCUUCUACUUGCCUUUCCAGUUUCUUUAUUCUUUAUAGUCAAAAAAAUAGAAAACAAAUAUGCAACAAAAAGUGAAUACUAUAUAAAUCAGUAAACUAUUAUUUAUACAACACACGCCAUUCAGAUGGAAGGCACUCAGACUGAAUUCAGUGAUAAAACUGCAUAUCCUGCUUUUAAUACAGAAUGCCCCAUGGACCAAUUUGCACUACUGCAUAGUUAAUAAUAACAAAAGUCAGGCUGGGGAUUUAGCUCAGUGGUUCCGCCGCCUGCCUCACAAGCCCAAGGUCCCCAGUUCGAGCCCUGGUACCAAAAAAUAAAAUAAAAAAACAAUAAU
rnacentral:lncRNA from 1 species